rnacentral:rRNA from 1 species
CCUACGGGUGGCAGCAGUAGGGAAUAUUGCACAAUGGGGGAAACCCUGACGCAGCGACGCCGCGUGAGUGAUGAAGUAUUUCGGUAUGUAAAGCUCUGUCAGCAGGGACGAAAAUGACCGUACCUGACUAAGAAGCCCCGGCUAACUACGGGCCAGCAGCCGCGGUAAGAAGGAGGGGGCAAGCGGUUGCCGGAUGUACUGGGUGGAAAGGGGGCGUAGACGGUUAAUCAAGUCAUGAGUGAAAACCCAGGGCUCAACCUUGGGACUGCAUUUGACAAUGAGUAGCUUGAGUGCAGGAGAGGUAAAGGGAAUUCCUGGUGUAGCGGUGAAAUGCGGAGAUAUCACGAGGAACUUCGGUGGCGAAGGCGGCAUACCGGGGCGCAAUUGACGCUGAGGCACGAAAGCGUGGGUAGCAAACAGGAUUAGAUACCCCAGUAGUC